AUUGAACGCUGGCGGCAGGCCUAACACAUGCAAGUCGAACGGUAACAGGAAACAGCUUGCUGUUUCGCUGACGAGUGGCGGACGGGUGAGUAAUGUCUGGGAAACUGCCUGAUGGAGGGGGAUAACUACUGGAAACGGUAGCUAAUACCGCAUAACGUCGCAAGACCAAAGAGGGGGACCCUCGGGCCUCUUGCCAUCGGAUGUGCCCAGAUGGGAUUAGCUUGUUGGUGGGGUAACGGCUCACCAAGGCGACGAUCCCUAGCUGGUCUGAGAGGAUGACCAGCCACACUGGAACUGAGACACGGUCCAGACUCCUACGGGAGGCAGCAGUGGGGAAUAUUGCACAAUGGGCGCAAGCCUGAUGCAGCCAUGCCGCGUGUAUGAAGAAGGCCUUCGGGUUGUAAAGUACUUUCAGCGGGGAGGAAGGGAGUAAAGUUAAUACCUUUGCUCAUUGACGUACCCGCAGAAG
rnacentral:rRNA from 1 species